GACGGACGCUGGCGGCGUGCUUAACACAUGCAAGUCGAACGGAAAGGCCCCAGCUUGCUGGGGUACUCGAGUGGCGAACGGGUGAGUAACACGUGGGUGAUCUGCCCUGCACUCUGGGAUAAGCCUGGGAAACUGGGUCUAAUACCGGAUAGGACCGUGCUUUAGUGUGUGCGGUGGAAAGUUGUUCGGUGCAGGAUGAGCCCGCGGCCUAUCAGCUUGUUGGUGGGGUAAUGGCCUACCAAGGCGGCGACGGGUAGCCGGCCUGAGAGGGUGUACGGCCACAUUGGGACUAAGACACGGCCCAGACUCCUACGGGGGGCAGCAGUGGGGAAUAUUGCACAAUGGGCGCAAGCCUGAUGCAGCGGCGCCGCGUGGGGGAUGACGGCCUUCGGGUUGUAAACCCCUUUCGGCAGGGACGAAGCUUUUGUGACGGUACCUGCAGAAGAAGCACCGGCUAACUACGUG
rnacentral:rRNA from 1 species